AGUCUGUAAUAGCAUAAGGCUUCCAUUAUGAAAGAAAACUACAAAAAUAAUACUUCUUUUAUCGUCCAUCUUUGUUGCUUCACCAGAGAGAUGCUGGAUUAAAGUAUGGUGAUUAUCAGACUCAAGAAAAAGUAUGCUUCCUUCCGAUGGUCGUCAGCUAGUGUUUAUUAUGUACCAAGUGUGGUCACUUUUUCAAUAUGCAUUAAUUGGCAUUAUACUAGAAGACUGAACAGGGGUGGGAAAGUGACCAUUUGAACCUAAUGCUACUGGAUGCUACUGGCUGAACAUGUGGGACCAUGAGGGCAUUA
rnacentral:lncRNA from 13 species